rnacentral:tRNA from 3 species
GUCCCCUUCGUCUAGAGGCCUAGGACAUCACCCUUUCACGGUGAGUACAGGGGUUCGAAUCCCUAGGGGACGCCA